rnacentral:rRNA from 1 species
UCAAAUUUGAAAUCUGGCGUCUUUGGCGUCCGAGUUGUAAUUUGAAGAAGGUAUCUUUGGGCCCGGCUCUUGUCUAUGUUCCUUGGAACAGGACGUCACAGAGGGUGAGAAUCCCGUGCGAUGAGAUGACCCGGGUCUGUGUAAAGUUCCUUCGACGAGUCGAGUUGUUUGGGAAUGCAGCUCUAAGUGGGUGGUAAAUUCCAUCUAAAGCUAAAUAUUGGCGAGAGACCGAUAGCGAACAAGUACAGUGAUGGAAAGAUGAAAAGAACUUUGAAAAGAGAGUGAAAAAGUACGUGAAAUUGUUGAAAGGGAAGGGCUUGAGAUCAGACUUGGUAUUUUGCAUGCUGCUCUCUCGGGGGCGGCCGCUGCGGUUUACCGGGCCAGCAUCGGUUUGGAGCGGCAGGAUAAUGGCGGAGGAAUGUGGCACGGCUUCUGCUGUGUGUUAUAGCCUCUGACGAUACUGCCAGCCUAGACCGAGGACUGCGGUUUUUACCUAGGAUGUUGGCAUAAUGAUCUUAAGUCGCCCGU